ACAUACGACCAUAGCAUCUGGAAAACUCGGGAUCCCGUCCGCUCUCCCCUAGAUAAGCCAGAUAGCGCCGGAUUAGUAGUUGGGUCGGUGACGACCAGCGAAUCCCUGGUGUUGUAUGUU
rnacentral:rRNA from 1 species